GAUGAACGCUGGCGGCGUGCCUAAUACAUGCCAGUCGAGCGAACAGAUUAUGAGCUUGCUCCGCUGACGUUAGCGGCGGGCGGGUAAGGAACACGUGUAUAACCUACCUAUAAGACUUGGAUAACUUCGUGAAACCUGAGCUAAUACCGUAUAAUAUGUUGAACCGAAGGGUUCAAUAGUGAAAGACGGUUUUGCUGACACUUAUUGAUGGAUCCGCGCCUCAUUAUCUAGUUGGUAAAGUAACGGCAUUCCAAGGCAACGAAGCGUAAUCGACCUGCGAGGCUGAUGGGCCACCCGAGAACGGAAACACCGUCGUGAUUGAUACGGGAGGCCGCAGUAGGGAAUAUUCGGCAAUGAUCGAAAGCUUGACGGAGAUAAGCCGCGUGAGUGAUGAAGUUCUUCGGAUCGUAAAACUCUGUUAUUAGGGAGGAACAAAUGUGUAAGUAAAUCUGCACGUCUUGACGGUACCUAGCCAGAAAACCACGGCUAACUACGUG
rnacentral:rRNA from 1 species